UGAAUACGAGACGCUAAGGCGUCGAAGUAGUGUAUGUCAUACUUCCAAGAAAAGCUUGCACUGUCAUAGAUAAAAAACGCCUGUACCAUAACCGACACAGGUGGGUAGGUAGAGUAUACUAAGGGGCGCGAGAUAACUCUCUCUAAGGAACUCGGCAAAAUAACUCCGUAACUUCGGGAGAAGGAGUGCCUUAUUCGUAAGGUUGCAAUAACAAGAUCCAAGCAACUGUUUAUCAAAAACACAGGUCUCCGCUAAGUCGUAAGACGAUGUAUGGGGGCUGACGCCUGCCCAGUGCCAGAAGGUUAAAGAAGUUGGUUAGCAUUUGCGAAGCUAGUGACUGAAGCCCUGGUGAACGGCGGCCGUAACGAUAACGGUCCUAAGGUAGCGAAAUUCCUUGUCGGGUAAGUUCCGACCCGCACGAAAGGCGUAAUGAUUUGGAUACUGUCUCGGAGAGGGGCUCGGUGAAAUAGACUUGUCUGUGAAGAUGCGGACUACCUGCACCAGGACAGAAAGACCCUAUGAAGCUUUACUGUAACUUGAAAUUGAAAUUGGACUUUAUUCGCGCAGUAUAGGUGGGAGGCGUUGAUUAUAAUCUUCGGGAUUAUUGGAGCCAUCAGUGAGAUACCACUCUUGUAAUGUUAGAUUUCUAACUUUGAAUCAUUAUCUGGUCAAAGGACAGUUUCAGGCGGGCAGUUUGACUGGGGCGGUCGCCUCCCAAACGGUAACGGAGGCGUACAAAGGUUUCCUCUGAACGGUUAGAAAUCGUAUCUAGAGUGUAAAGGCAUAAGGAAGCUUGACUGUGAGACCUACAAGUCGAGCAGGGACGAAAGUCGGUCUUAGUGAUCUGACGGUACUGAGUGGAAAGGCCGUCACUCAACGGAUAAAAGUUACUCUAAGGAUAACAGGCUGAUCUCCCCCAAGAGUUCACAUCGACGGGGAGGUUUGGCACCUCGAUGUCGGCUCAUCGCAUCCUGGGGCGGUAGUACGUCCCAAGGGUUGGGCUGUUCGCCCAUGAAAGCGGUACGCGAGCUGGGUUCAGAACGUCGUGAGACAGUUCGGUCCAUAUCCGGUGUAGGCGUUAGAAUAUUGAGAGGAGCCUUCUUUAGUACGAGAGGACCGAGAAGGACAUACCUCUGGUGUACCAGUUAUCGUGCCAACGGUAAACGCUGGGUAGCUAUGUAUGGAGUGGAUAACCGCUGAAAGCAUCUAAGUGGGAAGCCCACCUUAAGAUAAG
rnacentral:rRNA from 1 species